CGCGCGCUACACUGACGGAGCCAGCGAGUACUGGCGCAAGCCUUCCUUAGCCGAAAGGUUCGGGUAAUCUUGGGAAACUCCGUCGUGCUGGGGAUAGUCCUUUGCAAUUAUCGGACUUGAACGAGGAAUUCCUAGUAAGCGCGGUUCAUCAGAUCGCGUUGAUUACGUCCCUGCCCUUUGUACACACCGCCCGUCGCUACUACCGAUUGAAUGGCUUAGUGAGGCCUUUGGAUUGGCGUAUUACUGCCGGCAACGGCUGGUUAUAUGCCGAAAAGUUGGUCAAACUUGGUCAUUUAGAGGAAGUAAAAGUCGUAACAAGGUAUCCGUAGGUGAACCUGCGGAUGGAUCAUUAACGU
rnacentral:rRNA from 2 species